CAAGUACUGAUGACAGUCUUUAUUAUAUAAACAAUUCUAUGAUAAGUGCUACGUGAUUCAAUGGUAUGGUAAUCUUCGCAUCGAAAAAAUUAACUUGCAAAACUCGCACUAGGCACUGAACUAUUUUCAGCUGUCAAAUCGCUGAUUUGACGUGUGUCAGAAUGACAGAUGUAAUUUGGCGGCAAUUUCACGGCUGGCUGUCGAAAUAGUUUAAUGGUGUAACUCACCCUUGCUCUUGCCUUCUAUAUAACAGAUAAUAUAAUACAGAGUAGUUUUAGAUAUUCUGGAAUGUAGGUAGACAAGCAAUAGCCUUUGCAUAUUAAAUAAUAACGAA